GCGAAGGUGGCGGAAUUGGUAGACGCGCUAGCUUCAGGUGUUAGUGCCCCCCCGGGUGUGAGGGUUCGAGUCCCUCUCUUCGCACCA
rnacentral:tRNA from 1 species